CCUACGGGAGGCAGCAGUGGGGAAUAUUGCACAAUGGGGGAAACCCUGAUGCAGCGACGCCGCGUGAGUGAAGAAGUAUUUCGGUAUGUAAAGCUCUAUCAGCAGGGAAGAAAAUGACGGUACCUGACUAAGAAGCCCCGGCUAACUACGUGCCAGCAGCCGCGGUAAUACGUAGGGGGCAAGCGUUAUCCGGAUUUACUGGGUGUAAAGGGAGCGUAGACGGCCAGACAAGUCAGAAGUGAAAGCCCAGGGCUCAACCCUGGGACUGCUUUUGAAACUGCCGGGCUGGAGUGCAGGAGAGGUAAGCGGAAUUCCUAGUGUAGCGGUGAAAUGCGUAGAGAUCGGGAGGAACACCAGUGGCGAAGGCGGCCUGCUGGGCUCUAACUGACGCUGAGGCACGAAAGCGUGGGUAGCAAACAGGAUUAGAUACCCGAGUAGUC
rnacentral:rRNA from 1 species